rnacentral:lncRNA from 1 species
ACCGCCAUGGUGACUUGUAAGCAACUCACUAUACUUAGGUACUGAACUACCUGAAUUUUUAAUUCAGUGACGGAAGGUUGCUGGGUGUAGUCAAGUACUUGACUUAUUGGUGCGUGUGUCUAGAUGGGAUUGACCACUCCAGUUUAGGAGCUGUGUAUAGUCAUGUUUUAAUUUAGUAAAAUCUUGACCAGGGUAGUCCUUGUGAGGAGUCACAGGACUGUUUGAGUUGAGCACGAUUCGGAU